rnacentral:lncRNA from 1 species
AAAAAGGGCUCCCUAGGAGUACCUAGGACAUUUUGGGUGCUAACACCUUCCCUUUGUGUAACCAACCCCGUUACUUGUAAUCUCUGGCACUUUAUUAGUUUUGAUUUGAAAACUUUUUAUCUUUGGGUUUUGUUCGUACUUUUCCCUUUUCCUUUAGAAACAAUAAAAGUGUGGUGGCGACUCUGGUUUUAUUGACGUCAAUUUUAUCCAUAGCUUGAUGGUCAUGAAUUUACCACUACACCCAGUAUUGUCUUUGCAACGCCCAAAUUC